rnacentral:rRNA from 1 species
GACGAACGCUGGCGGCGUGCUUAACACAUGCAAGUCGAACGGAAAGGCCUCUUUCGGGGGGUACUCGAGUGGCGAACGGGUGAGUAACACGUGAGUAACCUGCCCUUGACUUUGGGAUAACUUCAGGAAACUGGGGCUAAUACCGGAUAGGAGCUCCUGCUGCAUGGUGGGGGUUGGAAAGUUUCGGCGGUUGGGGAUGGACUCGCGGCUUAUCAGCUUGUUGGUGGGGUAGUGGCUUACCAAGGCUUUGACGGGUAGCCGGCCUGAGAGGGUGACCGGCCACAUUGGGACUGAGAUACGGCCCAGACUCCUACGGGAGGCAGCAGUGGGGAAUCUUGCACAAUGGGUGGAAGCCUGAUGCAGCAACGCCGUGUGCGGGAUGACGGCCUUCGGGUUGUAAACCGCUUUCGCUCAUGACGAAGCUUUGUGUGACGGUAGUGGGUAAAGAAGCACCGGCUAACUACGUG